ACGAACGCUGGCGGCGUGCCUAAUACAUGCAAGUCGAGCAGAAUGAAGAAGAAGCUUGCUUCUUCUGAUUUUAGCGGCGGACGGGUGAGUAACACGUGGGCAACCUACCUUGUAGAUUGGGAUAACUCCGGGAAACCGGGGCUAAUACCGAAUAAUCCAUUUUGCUUCAUGGCGAGAUGUUAAAAGGCGGCUUCGGCUGUCACUACGAGAUGGGCCCGCGGCGCAUUAGCUAGUUGGUAGGGUAAUGGCCUACCAAGGCGACGAUGCGUAGCCGACCUGAGAGGGUGAUCGGCCACACUGGGACUGAGACACGGCCCAGACUCCUACGGGAGGCAGCAGUAGGGAAUCUUCCACAAUGGACGAAAGUCUGAUGGAGCAACGCCGCGUGAGUGAAGAAGGUUUUCGGAUCGUAAAACUCUGCUGUAAGGGAAGAACACGUACGAGAGUAACUGCUCGUACCUUGACGGUACCUUAUUAGAAAGCCACGGCUAACUACGUG
rnacentral:rRNA from 1 species